GAUGAACGCUGGCGGCGUGCCUAAUACAUGCAAUUCGAGCGAACAGACGAGGAGCUUGCUCCUCUGACGUUAGCGGCGGACGGGUUAGUAACACGUUGAUAACCUACCUAUAAGACUGGGAUAACUUCGGGAAACCGGAGCUAAUACCGGAUAAUAUAUUGAACCGCAUGGUUCAAUAGUGAAAGACGGUUUUGCUGUCACUUAUAGAUGGAUCCGCGCCGCAUUAGCUAGUUGGUAAGGUAACGGCUUACCAAGGCAACUAUGCGUAGCCGACCUGAGAGGGUGAUCGGCCACACUGGAACUGAGACACGGUCCAGACUCCUACGGGAGGCAGCAGUAGGGAAUCUUCCGCAAUGGGCGAAAGCCUGACGGAGCAACGCCGCGUGAGUGAUGAAGGUCUUCGGAUCGUAAAACUCUGUUAUUAGGGAAGAACAAAUGUGUAAGUAACUAUGCACGUCUUGACGGUACCUAAUCAGAAAGCCACGGCUAACUACGUG
rnacentral:rRNA from 1 species